UACAGAGGGUGCGAGCGUUAAUCGGAAUUACUGGGCGUAAAGCGCGCGUAGGCGGCUUUGCAAGUCGGGUGUGAAAUCCCCAGGCUUAACCUGGGAACUGCAUUCGAGACUGCAUUGCUAGAGUAUGGGAGAGGGAAGUGGAAUUUCCGGUGUAGCGGUGAAAUGCGUAGAUAUCGGGAGGAACACCCGUAGCGAAGGCGGUUCUCUGGGCCAAUACUGACGCUGAGGAGCGAAAGCGUGGGGAGCAAACAGG
rnacentral:rRNA from 1 species